CCGAGGGCAAUGAUUGAGAAGCAGUUUGACCAAUGGCGUGCGUGAAGGCGGGACUUAACAAGAAAGGUCAAAACAGUGCAGAAACGCACACCAAAAAAUGUCUACCAUAGAAAGCAAAACGGCAAAUUUCCUGCGACAUUGUGAGGUAAUCAUACUGGUGCACCCUUGGCCUUGUCAGUGGGUGAGGUCACAUCACUAAACUGUCUGAAGAAGUAAGGUGUCGUGGACCAUCAUAAAAUUUGCAUCAACAUGGAGAUUGAAUUGGAGACCAUUGUUCUGUUCGAAGUGUAGUUUGUGGAAGAUGCAAUGAGGAAAUUAAUUUGAAUUGUCAAUGUUGUAUUUUAAGCAUAUAAGCAAUGUUUAGAUGAUGGUACUGUAGCACUGUUUAAAGUUUUUAAUAUUGUUGUUAUUUACAAUGGAAACUACUGUAACAGAUUAAAAUAAAGAGGGAAAAAUACAACUGAUUUUCUCUAAUGACUUUUUGUGUGAGAUAUAACAUACAUUUCAUGAACUACAUAUAAAAUUAUCUGUAAGCCAUAAUCAAAAUCAAAAUGCUGUACAUGCCUUUCAAAAUUAUGGUCCAUCACAGUUCAUUUUUUCAAAUAACGGUCAACACAUGUCAUUUCAAUUUAGUCAAACUCUGUUAAAUAAUGAUUAAAACAUGAUUUUAGUUUCCAGUCAAAACAUGCUUUAUGAAGUAAUUGUAUCAACGUAAUUUAUAUCUACAUUCAAAUCAUGUUAAGUUAAACAACUGUUACACCAUGUUUUUAUAUUUACAGUUAAAACAUGUUUUAUUAAAUAAGGGUUUAAACAUGUUACGUGAACUUACAGUCAAAUAAUGUCAUUACAUUUAAUGGUCUAUGCAUGUAUUUGCAAUUAUACAGACAA